CUUAAGGGGCAAGGCAGACAGAAGGUGUGUGCAAUGGGAAGGAGACUUGAACUCAGAGGCUGCUGGUUUCUGUUAGGCAGAGGUUAACAGAAGACCAUGACACAGAGACAGAUAAUAUAUCACCUAACUACUGACUGGUACAACACCUUCUCUAACCUUUGAGAGAGUCUGCUCCCACUGCUUGUUCACAUCCAUUCAUUCAACAAAUACUUACUAAGUUUCUCUUAGAUGCCAGGUGCUACACAAGACACCAGAUAUAGUAGUGAAUAGGACAGCCAUCUUGCCCCCUUGGAGGUCACAGGACAUUGUGAUGAAAGACAUUGAGCAAAUAAUUAAAGGGUGAUGAGUGCUAUGAAGGAAAAGUAUAGGGUGUAUUAUGAGGUACCUAAUUAGCAGGAGGCUCCAAGAGGACAGGGACCAUGCUUAGCUUGUAUACUAGUGCCAGUGUCUGGCAUGGAGUAACCAUGGACAUGUUUGGUUGAGAGAACCAAGGAGUCUAGCUGAAUAAAGGGUGUGUGUGUGUGUGUGUGUGUGUGUGUGUGUGUGUGCAUGUGUGUGUUGUGUAAUUAACCCUCCUUUAGCUCAGCUUGGUAAGCAGCUUUUAUAAAACUGCUGAUCCUCUUGAAUUAAUGAUAGGCCCAGUUGUGAUCAGGGAUGUCAGCUACUUCACACAAUCAGAACUUGUUCAUUUGGGGCACCCUGAAUGAUGCCAGAUGGGCAAGAACCUGAAUGAGAACCACCUCAAGAGAACCUCUUGCCUGGAACCUCAUGGAUUCCUCAGAGAAUGUUGUGAACUGCCAACAGAAGCUGGACUACUUCUGUAAGAGAAAUUCCUCAUCAACCACGUGGUCAGGUUUGCCAAAACUGGACAUGGAUCAAAAUAAACAUCUGUUCGACUCCCUGCACUUGA